rnacentral:rRNA from 1 species
AUUGAACGCUGGCGGCAGGCCUAACACAUGCAAGUCGAGCGGAUGAAGGGAGCUUGCUCCUGGAUUCAGCGGCGGACGGGUGAGUAAUGCCUAGGAAUCUGCCUGGUAGUGGGGGAUAACGUCCGGAAACGGGCGCUAAUACCGCAUACGUCCUGAGGGAGAAAGUGGGGGAUCUUCGGACCUCACGCUAUCAGAUGAGCCUAGGUCGGAUUAGCUAGUUGGUGGGGUAAAGGCCUACCAAGGCGACGAUCCGUAACUGGUCUGAGAGGAUGAACAGUCAACCUGGGAACUGAGACCCGGCCCCGCCCCCAACGGGAGGCAGGAGUGGGGAAUAUGGGAAAAGGGGGGAAAGCCUGACCCAGCCAGGCCGGGUGUGUGAAGAAGGUCUUCGGAUUUUAAAGCACUUUAAGUUGGGGGGAAGGGCAGUAAGUUAAAACCUUGCUUUUUUGACGUUACCAACAAAAUAAGCACCGGCUAACUUCGG